rnacentral:siRNA from 1 species
UCAGAAAGCAUGGUUUUGCCUC